rnacentral:lncRNA from 1 species
UUACCUCUCAGUGUCAUUGCAAGAAUGAAAGAAUGGAUGUGUGCAAAGGGCACUGCUUUUUCUACAAAACCCAGGUCUCCAUGUUCAAAUUCUCAUUGAACUUAUUUUGUUGAAUUAAUCGCAGCCAUGCCCAUGGAGGCGAGAACUAGACUUAAGAUGGUAAAGAUGAUGACUUCCAAGAAACCUGCUCUUAAACUGAAGGCUUCGUGGCAUGACGGUAAAGGCGUAAAUAUCAAAGCUAAGCUACCCAGAGCCUUUCUGGAUAAUUCAGUCAAAAAAGGAAGAAGUGAGAGUGUUUAAAAAUACCUGAAUUGGCUGCUAUGCUUGAGUUCUUGAUGCUCAAACAGGAGUGCACAUCAGAGGAAACCCGAGGAGCUUUGUAGAUAAGAAUGUUAAAGACUUUCAGACCUCCUAUUCAGAAGCCACCAAAGGUAGGACCCUGAAUGUCUUUCUUUUUUUUUUUUUUUUUUUUUUUGGUGAGGAAGAUUGGCCCCAAGCUAACAUCUGUGCCAAUCUUCCUCUGUUUUGUAUGUGGGAUGCCUCCACAACAUGGCUUGAUGAGUAGUAUAUAGGUCCAUGACCAGGAUCCCAAACUGCAAACCUCGCACUGCCAAAGCACAGUGCACGAACUUAACCACUAUGCCCCAGGGCCAGCCCUUGAAUGUGUCUUUUUAAAUUUCAGGUGCCUCUGGCCCUUCACUCUGGCUAAGAACCACAGACCUACUAAAUACUCUGUUACUGAUUUAUUUGGUACAUAUGUUACAGUUUGCGUCUUGAUUUAAAAUUUGAGAGAAAUUUGCACGCAUGGAAUCUUUCUAAGUUUCUGGUUUGAAAGUCAACUUUUGAUUACAUUCACGUGUGUACAUCCCCUUACAUUCGUAUUGCACGCUACAUUUUACAAAGUGCCUUCAUUUCACCCUCACCACCACCUUGUGAGAUAGGCCACGGCCAGUGUGCAUGGAUGUGCAAGUUGGUUCACAGCACAUGAGCCCCUUGAUUGGGGGGACAUGUGGGGCCUCAAACCUGGUCCCUACAGCAAGAGCUGAACUGUGAGCCUGCACCAAGCUGGGUUUACCCAGAGGAGACAUCUUCUAAUCCUCACAAAGGUGUGCCAGGGGCUAGUGGCAACUCUGAAGUAGGCAAACUAGGGAUUAUUAGCCCCAUUUAAGAUGUGAAGAGCUUGAGAAGAUCAAUAGCUUUUCCAAGCUUUCCCAGGUGGUGAGUGGCUAGCUCAGAUGACGUCAUGUGGCUUAAGCCAGUGCUUUUCUGCCAUACUGGAAAUUAUUCCUGCACGUUCUUU